CCUACGGGCGACAGCAGUGAGGAAUAUUGGUCAAUGGACGCAAGUCUGAACCAGCCAAGCCGCGUGAAGGAUGACGGCUCUAUGAGUUGUAAACUGCUUUUGUACGAGAGUAAACGCAGAUACGUGUAUCUGUCUGAAAGUAUCGUACGAAUAAGGAUCGGCUAACUCCGUGCCAGCCGCCGCGGUAAUACGGAGGAUUCGAGCGUUAUCCGGAUUUAUUGGGUUUAAAGGGAGCGUAGGCGGUCGGAUAAGUUAGAGGUGAAAUCCCGAGGCUUAACUUCGGAAUUGCAUGUGAUACUGGUAGGCUAGAGAGCAGUUGAGGUAGGCGGAAUGCAUGGUGUAGCGGUGAAAUGCUUAGAGAUCACACAGAACACCGAUUGCGAAGGCAGCUUACUAAGCU
rnacentral:rRNA from 1 species